AAGAAGCUACUUUGUGCGUAUUGUUAAUUAAGUUUUAACCUUUAAGCUGUAAUAGGGAGUUUUAUAUCGAAGCCGGAAUGUCAUGCCUCCAUUGCAGAGGACGACAGGAACGUUUCUGCAAACACCCACAUU
rnacentral:sRNA from 1 species